GAGAGAGAGAGAGAAUUUAAAUCAUCAACAAUUAUGACUUACGAAACAACUAAACCAUAAAGGAUUUGCAAAUACCAAAAGACCCCAAAUUGGUGAUAGUGUGCAAGGAAUAUGGGGGCUGUAAGUAUAAAAAAGAGUAACUGAGGCGUGCACCAGCUAACAUAGGUCAAUUUGCCAUAGGAAAUCAGUUAUUGUAGGAUAAUCUGCAUUUCAUUAGAGGGAGGCUAACAACUGCGUAAAUUGAUAUGUUCCUCUUUUUCCCAACAAAAUACUUUGAAUAUGGAAGCUUAUUUAUGAUAACCUGAAGUGUUCCCCUGGAAUCUGCGAGGCCAUAAACAAAUCAAAGAAAUAAGGGAACAGAUGAGGGGGAGGGAAGGGUUCUCAGCAGCAGAUUCCCUCUAAUUUCCAUAAAAAAAAAAAGACCUAAAAUACAUGGGUCAUUUUUUAUUUUCUCUACUGGUUAUACUUGAUUUUAAAAAGCAUAUAAGCUCCACAAGACAUUAUCCAACGACACCCUCAUCAUUUUUCACAUAAAGAGCCCUACUUGCAUGGAUGCAAAAGUUUAAGAGGUAGAGUGAAAUGCAAGUGCCAUUUACAGUUCAUGUCAGGAAUAUUUAUCAUUCAAUAUUUUGUAUGGAAAUUUUUAUAAGUUACAGAAUACAUGCAACACUUCCAAACAGAAACUCUACAAUUGAGAAACAAAUCUAACCAGUAGAAAAUGUAUAAGUCUGUACAAGGUAAACUGCUUCUAAGCAGAUGAACAACAAUGGGAUCUCAAAUCCAAUUUAAAACAUGUAACCUGCAUGCAAGAGAUUAUCAAUAUUAGGUCCUGAACACAUUACACUCAUGACUGAUCUACAAUCUUACUACUUUAGGAAAACAACAAAUAUGCUUGAAAUUCAGUGUUUGGUUCAUUGGCAGCACAGGACUUUCCUAUCUAUCCAUGAUAGAGGCCGCCUCACAUUGAGAAGGGCAAUCCAAUGAGAAACAACCAUUUCACUGGAGCCACGUUUCAAGAUAAGCGCAAUGGAUGAUCUAUAACAUUCAAUUCAAGACCAAAAAGAAGCAAAUGCUAGAUAAUUUAAGAAAAAGUCUCAUCAUUGAAGGUGAAACCAAUUCCUCCCUCUCCAAUUGCACAAGUACUCGGGUUGUGAGGAAUAAAUUGUAAUCAAGACAGAGCAAAUGUGCAUGUUAAAUUAUUAUUCAAAAUCUUAGUGGAAUUUGAAGAGAUAUAUUUAUUCCUGAAGAGAAUAUUUCCUAUAUUUUGUAAUUGAAUGGGAUUCUUAAUUAGAUCAGGGUUUAGGAAAUUAACACUACAAAUAUGAUUCCUAAUUAAAUCGCCCGUGUAUGUAGCCCUGAAUGGAGAGAGUGAACAGUAUUUUACGUGUUUGCUUUAUUUUUUGUAAUUUACACGCUGCACAACAGUGCCUUGCUAUUGGUAUGGUCCAAUCAGAUUAUUUGAAUCAGGAAGCAACCAAUGGAGCAAUUAAUAAGGUGAUUAAAAUUAUUCCUAGGAUUUCAUUUAUAGAAAAGACUUCCCUUCGGAAUGAACUUGAGGCCAGGUAAACAGGGUGUAUCAGGUAAACAUGAAUAUGAAUCAGAAAUUCUGAAGAAAAAAUGCAAAAAAUGUUUUUCUUUCAUAAUGCUAAGAACUUGCAUGAAAUUAGUAGAAAAUAGGAAACAUUACAUCAAUAAGUGGGAAAUAUUACCUUGAACCUGUGCUUCAAGAAACAAGCUACUGGGCCACUUUUCAAAGAGUAUAUAGCAUCUACCCAUGACUUCUAGGAUCAACAACUUGAUGCACUUUCCUGGAUUCAGUACUUGAAUAUCGUCCAACAACACGAGAAUGAGGAACACUUGCUUCCCCAUGGGCAAGAGAAUCCACAUUCUCAAGGAGGUAUUGCCUGGGAAAUCUGCCAACUACAUUACCCUCUUCAUUCCCGUCUUUGUCGAGGAAUGCAAAGUGUGGAAUACCUUCAACACCAAACUCAUCAAGCUCUUGUUCCCACUUUGUGUUGUCAACAUUCAGCAUAACAAAAUUAACACGAUCCUUGUACUGCUGCUCAACUUUGUAAACGUCUGGAGCUAACUCCCGACACACUUCACACCAAUCUGCAUAGAACUCCACAACCGUGGGCUUCCCAUUUGAGAGAGCCUCUUCGUAAGGUAUAGCAGCAGCCGAGAGAUCCUUUAACGAAACACCCAAAUCCAGCCGUGCCGAUAAGAAAAGUCCCACCGCCACAACCACAGAAACCGCUGCUAUUUGCUUAUUUACAUCUUUAUUUGGAAAU
rnacentral:misc_RNA from 1 species